rnacentral:rRNA from 1 species
UACAGAGGGUGCGAGCGUUAAUCGGAAUUACUGGGCGUAAAGCGCACGUAGGCGGCUUGGUAUGUCGGGUGUGAAAUCCCCGGGCUCAACCUGGGAACUGCAUCCGAAACUGCCUUGCUAGAGUAUGGGAGAGGGAAGUGGAAUUUCCGGUGUAGCGGUGAAAUGCGUAGAUAUCGGAAGGAACAUCAGUGGCGAAAGCGGCUUCCUGGACCAGUACCGACGUUCAGGCACGAAAGCGUGGGGAGCAAACAGG